rnacentral:lncRNA from 1 species
CUGGUUUGACUUGAGCCUAUGUAGGCUAGGUCAUAGACUUUGUAGGCUAGCCUGACCUAUUCUCACCCCUAGUGGUAGCAAUUGAUAAAUCAAAGGAUUUCAACACAUUGAAGAUUGAAGAAUUGUAGAGUUCACUAGAAAGCUCAUGAGUUAAGAGUCGUUGAAAGAGGGACCGAAAGAUAAGUUCAACAUGCCUAGCAAGUUUAACAUACAAAGAAAGAAGGGAAUGAAAAGAAAGAGUG